rnacentral:rRNA from 1 species
UACGGGGGGGGCAAGCGUUGUUCGGAAUUACUGGGCGUAAAGGGUUUGUAGGUGGCCGGCUAAGUCAGACGUGAAAUCCCUCAGCUUAACUGGGGAACUGCGUCUGAAACUGAUCGGCUCGAGUGCAGGAGAGGAACGCGGAAUUCCAGGUGUAGCGGUGAAAUGCGUAGAUAUCUGGAGGAACACCGGUGGCGAAGGCGGCAUCCUGGACCGGCAUUGACGCUGAGGAGCGAAAGCUAGGGGAGCAAACGGG